CUGCAAUGAUGACUUUCUUAGGACACCUUUGGAAAUAAAAGAUGAAAAUAACACUUAUAAUACUGAGCAGU
ensembl:snoRNA SNORD58 Small nucleolar RNA SNORD58